rnacentral:rRNA from 1 species
CGCCUCUUGUUUAUCAAUAAGAGGUCCAGCCUGCCCAGUGACCCUGUUCAACGGCCGCGGUAUCCUAACCGUGCGAAGGUAGCGUAAUCACUUGUUCUUUAAAUGAGGACUAGUAUGAAUGGCCCCACGAAGGCUACACUGUCUCCUUUUCUUAAUCAAUGAAAUUAAUCUUCCCGUGAAGAAGCGGGAAUAUAAAUAUAAGACGAGAAGACCCUAUGGAGCUUUAAACUAUCGAAACACUUGCUUCACAUUUCUUAUACUCCUGAGCCCUUUCAGUUAUUUAAGCAAUCUUACUUCAAGUUUUAGGUUGGGGUGACCACGGAGCAAAAUUUAACCUCCAUGAUGUAAGAGGCUUCACUCUUAGCUAAAAGCCACUUCUUUAAGCAUCAAUAAAUUGACUCUUAUUGACCCAAUUAUUUGAUCAACGAACCAAGUUACCCUAGGGAUAACAGCGCAAUCUACUUCAAGAGCUCAUAUCGACAAGUAGGUUUACGACCUCGAUGUUGGAUCAGGGUAUCCUAGUGGUGCAGCCGCUACUGAUGGUUCGUUUGUUCAACGAUUAAAACCCU